GACGAACGCUGGCGGCGUGGAUUAGGCAUGCAAGUCGAACGGUAUCAUCCUUUCGGGGGUGAGAGAGUGGCGAACUGGUGAGUAACACGUAGGUUAUCUACCCUCAAGACGGGGACAACCCAGGGAAACUUGGGCUAAUACCGGAUGUGAGCAACUUUUAGUUGUUUGAAAGGUGGCGUAAGCUGUCGCUUGGGGAUGAGCCUGCGUCCUAUUAGUUAGUUGGUGAGGUAACGGCUCACCUAGGCAAUGAUAGGUAGGCGGCCUUAACGGGUGGUCGCCCACACUGGGAUUGAGAUACGGCCCAGACUCCUACGGGAGGCAGCAGUCGAGAAUAGUCUACAAUGGUCGGAAGACUGAUAGUGCGACGCCGCGUGAACGAUGAAUCCCUUCGGGGUGUAAAGUUCUUUUAUAUGUGAGCAGUGCUUCUUAUAUUAACAGUAUGGGGAGAGAGAUAUUAGCAUAUGAAUAAGCAACGGCUAAACUCCGUGCCAGCAGACGCGGUAAAAAUACCG
rnacentral:rRNA from 1 species